CCUACGGGUGGCAGCAGUGGGGAAUAUUGGGCAAUGGGCGCAAGCCUGACCCAGCAACGCCGCGUGAAGGAAGACGGCUUUCGGGUUGUAACCUUCUUUUGUCCGGGAAGAGUAGAAGACGGUACCUGACGAAUAAGCCACGGCUAACUACGUGCCAGCAGCCGCGGUAAUACGUAGGUGGCAAGCGUUGUCCGGAUUUACUGGGUGUAAAGGGCGUGUAGCCGGGUUGACAAGUCAGAUGUGAAAUCCUGCGGCUUAACCGCAGAACUGCAGUUGAAACUGUUGAUCUUGAGUACUGGAGAGGCAGACGGAAGUGCUAGUGUAGCGGUGAAAUGCGUAGAUAUUAGGAGGAACACCAGUGGCGAAGGCGGUCUGCUGGACAGCAACUGACGGUGAGGCGCGAAAGCGUGGGGAGCAAACAGGAUUAGAUACCCGAGUAGUC
rnacentral:rRNA from 1 species